rnacentral:rRNA from 1 species
GGACUACCGGGGUAUCUAAUCCUGUUUGCUCCCCACGCUUUCGAGUCUCAGCGUCAGUACUCGUCCAGUUGGCCGCCUUCGCCACCGGUGUUCCUCUCGAUAUCUACGAAUUUCACCUCUACACCGAGAAUUCCACCAACCUCUCCGGUACUCUAGCCUCGCAGUUUCGAGUGCACUUCCAGGGUUGAGCCCUGGGCUUUCACACCCGACUUACGAGACCGCCUACACUCGCUUUACGCCCAGUAAUUCCGAACAACGUUUGCACCCUCUGUCUUACCGCGGCUGCUGGCAC